CUCCUCUCCAUCCAGCCGUCGUGUAUUUUUCUCUACGCCUCAUGAACUAUUUUCAUCAACUCGCCAAUUCAUAAGCCCCCUUGGCUUAAAUGAAUGCGAGGGUCCCUUUUUCUGUCAAUUUUUUUUCUCGCCUCUGCUCA
ensembl:ncRNA T19F4.4 ncRNA